rnacentral:rRNA from 1 species
UACAGAGGGGGCAAGCGUUAUUCGGAAUUAUUGGGCGUAAAGGGCGCGUAGGCGGCGAUUCAAGUGACGGGUGAAAUCCCUCGGCUUAACCGAGGAACUGCCUGUCAGACUGGAUUGCUUGAGGCCGGGAGAGGCGAGUGGAAUUCCCAGUGUAGCGGUGAAAUGCGUAGAGAUCGGGAGGAACACCAGAGGCGAAGGCGGCGACCUGGACAGGUACUGACACUGAGGCACGAAGGCCAGGGGAGCAAACGGG